rnacentral:rRNA from 1 species
ACGAAAGCGUGGGGAGCAAACAGGAUUAGAUACCCUGGUAGUCCACGCCGUAAACGAUGAGUACUAAGUGUCGGGGCAACUCGGUACUGAAGUUAACACAUUAAGUACUCCGCCUGAGUAGUACGUACGCAAGUAUGAAACUUAAAGGAAUUGACGGGAUCCCGCACAAGCGGUGGAUCAUGUUGUUUAAUUCGAAGAUACACGAAAAACCUUACCAGGUCUUGACAUAUUCUGCGAAGCUAUAGAAAUAUAGUAGAGGUUACCAGAAAUACAGGUGGUGCAUGGUUGUCGUCAGCUCGUGUCGUGAGAUGUUAGGUUAAGUUCUAAAACGAGCGCAACCCUUAUCGUUAGUUACCAGCAUGUUAUGAUGGGGACUUUAGCGAGACUGCCAAUGAAAAAUUGGAGGAAGGUGAGGAUUACGUCAAAUCAUCAUGCCCCUUAUGAUCUGGGCUACAAACGUGAUACAAUGGCUAUUACAAAGGGUAGCUGAAACGCGAGUUUUUAGCCAAUCUCAAAAAAAUAGUCUCAGUUCGGAUUGAAGUCUGCAACUCGACUUC